GUCAGACUAUGGGUGAUAAGGUCCGUAGUCGAAAGGGAAACAGCCCAGACCACCAGCUAAGGUCCCAAAAUAUAUGUUAAGUGGAAAAGGAUGUGGCGUUGCCCAGACAACUAGGAUGUUGGCUUAGAAGCAGCCAUCAUUUAAAGAGUGCGUAAUAGCUCACUAGUCGAGUGACACUGCGCCGAAAAUGUACCGGGGCUAAACAUAUUACCGAAGCUGUGGAUUAUCCGUAAGGAUAAUGGUAGGAGAGCGUUCUAAACGUGUCGAAGCAUGAUCGUAAGGACAUGUGGAAUGUUUAGAAGUGAGAAUGCCGGUGUGAGUAGCGAAAGAUGGGUGAGAAUCCCAUCCACCGAUUGACUAAGGUUUCCAGAGGAAGGCUCGUCCGCUCUGGGUUAGUCGGGACCUAAGCCGAGGCCGAUAGGCGUAGGCGAUGGAUAACAGGUAGAUAUUCCUGUACCACCUAUGAUUGUUUGAACGAUGGGGGGACGCAGUAGGAUAGGCGAAGCGUGCUGUUGGAGUGCACGUCCAAGCAAUAAGACUGAGUGUUAGGCAAAUCCGGCACUCGUAAGGUUGAGUUGUGAUGGGGAGUUGGAUCAUGUAUCCGACGAGUCGUUGAUUUCACACUGCCAAGAAAAGCCUCUAGUUAGAAAAUAGGUGCCCGUACCGCAAACCGACACAGGUAGUCAAGAUGAGAAUUCUAAGGUGAGCGAGCGAACUCUCGUUAAGGAACUCGGCAAAAUGACCCCGUAACUUCGGGAGAAGGGGUGCUUUUUAGGGUGCAAGCCUUGAAGAGCCGCAGUGAAUAGGCCCAAGCGACUGUUUAUCAAAAACACAGGUCUCUGCUAAACCGUAAGGUGAUGUAUAGGGGCUGACGCCUGCCCGGUGCUGGAAGGUUAAGAGGAGUGGUUAGCUUCUGCGAAGCUACGAAUCGAAGCCCCAGUAAACGGCGGCCGUAACUAUAACGGUCCUAAGGUAGCGAAAUUCCUUGUCGGGUAAGUUCCGACCCGCACGAAAGGCGUAACGAUUUGGGCACUGUCUCAACGAGAGACUCGGUGAAAUCAUAGUACCUGUGAAGAUGCAGGUUACCCGCGACAGGACGGAAAGACCCCGUGGAGCUUUACUGUAGCCUGAUAUUGAAAUUUGGCACAGCUUGUACAGGAUAGGUAGGAGCCUUUGAAACGUGAGCGCUAGCUUACGUGGAGGCGCUGGUGGGAUACUACCCUGGCUGUGUUGACUUUCUAACCCGCACCAUUUGAUCAUGGUGGGAGACAGUGUCAGGCGGGCAGUUUGACUGGGGCGGUCGCCUCCUAAAGAGUAACGGAGGCGCUCAAAGGUUCCCUCAGAAUGGUUGGAAAUCAUUCGCAGAGUGUAAAGGCACAAGGGAGCUUGACUGCGAGACCUACAAGUCGAGCAGGGUCGAAAGACGGACUUAGUGAUCCGGUGGUUCCGCAUGGAAGGGCCAUCGCUCAACGGAUAAAAGCUACCCCGGGGAUAACAGGCUUAUCUCCCCCAAGAG
rnacentral:rRNA from 1 species